AUCCAAAUAGUGUAGUGGUUAUCACGUUUCCUUUACACGGAAAAGGUCCCCGGUUCGAACCCGGGUUUGGGUA
rfam:Piromyces finnis strain finn BCR36scaffold_95, whole genome shotgun sequence.